UGGGGAAUAUUGCACAAUGGGCGCAAGCCUGAUGCAGCCAUGCCGCGUGUGUGAAGAAGGCCUUCGGGUUGUAAAGCACUUUCAGCGAGGAGGAAGGGUUCAGUGUUAAUAGCACUGUUCAUUGACGUUACUCGCAGAAGAAGCACCGGCUAACUCCGUGCCAGCAGCCGCGGUAAUACGGAGGGUGCAAGCGUUAAUCGGAAUUACUGGGCGUAAAGCGCACGCAGGCGGUUUGUUAAGUCAGAUGUGAAAUCCCCGCGCUUACGU
rnacentral:rRNA from 1 species